rnacentral:rRNA from 1 species
GAUGAACGCUGGCGGCGUGCUUAAUACAUGCAAGUCGAACGAACAUUAAGAGUGCUUGCACUUUUAAUGUUAGUGGCGAACGGGUGAGUAAUACAUAGGCAACUUGCCCCAAGGACUGGGAUAACACUUAGAAAUGAGUGCUAAUACCGGAUAGGUAAUACAAAGGCAUCUUAGUAUUAUUAAAGGAGAGAAACACAAGCAGAUGGGCUUAUGGUGCAUUAGUUAGUUGGUGAGGUAACGGCCCACCAAGACGAUGAUGCAUAGCCGGCCUGAGAGGGUGAACGGCCACAUUGGGACUGAGACACGGCCCAG